UUUCAAACCAAACGUGUUCUAAAAGUUAAAAAAAAUUAAAAAUCAAAACAGAACAAAACAAAAUGUUGGUUUUACAAAUUAUACUCUCUUUUUUUUAAGCUCUAUAGGUUUGAUGUUAACAAAUUUAUACGUGUCGACUUCUAUAUAUAUAUAAAAAAAAAACCUUCAAAUACCGCCCGUACGGUUUCACACUUUCUCACUUUAGUAUCCUGUGGUUUAAAGUAUAUUAAUUUAGUGCCCUGUGGUUUCAUUUUUACCUUUUUAUUAUCGACUUCACUAAUUUUUUUUCGUUAAAUCAGUGACAAAGUUAAAACUAAUGCGCACUAAAGUGAAUAUUCGAUAAAUUUAGAUGGGGUAUCUGAAAUUUUUUGUAUAUAAUUUAAUAAAAUAUUAACGGAGAAGCUGGCGAAAAGAUAAAAAUAAAACAGCAGGAUACUAACUUGAUACACUUUAAACCAUAUAAUACUAAAAUGAAAAAGUGUGAAACUAUUGGAUUGAUAUUUGAAGCUUAUUCUAGAAAAAAAAAGAAAAAGAAAAAGAAAAAGAAAAAGAAAAAAAAAAAGGGU
rnacentral:lncRNA from 1 species